rnacentral:tRNA from 1 species
GCUCCCAUGGCGUAGUGGUCACUGCGCUCGCCUUGCACGCGGGAGACCCGGGUUCGAUUCCCGGUGGGAUCA